UACGUAGGGGGCUAGCGUUGUCCGGAAUCAUUGGGCGUAAAGAGCGUGUAGGCGGCCCGGUAAGUCCGCUGUGAAAGUCGGGGGCUCAACCCUCGAAUGCCGGUGGAUACUGUCGGGCUAGAGUGCGGAAGAGGCGAGUGGAAUUCCUGGUGUAGCGGUGAAAUGCGCAGAUAUCAGGAGGAACACCGAUUGCGAAGGCAGCUCGCUGGAACGUUACUGACGCUGAGACGCGAAAGCGUGGGGAGCAAACAGG
rnacentral:rRNA from 1 species